UCCCCANUGCGUCCUACCACCAGAACCUUCC
rnacentral:piRNA from 1 species